UACGAAGGGGCGUAGCGUUGUUCGGUAAUUACUGGCGUAAAGCGCACGUAGGCGGUCGUUAAGUCAGGGUGAAUCCAGAGCUCAACUCUGGAACUGCCUUUGAUACUGGCGACCUAGAGUUCGGAAGAGGUUAGUGGAAUUCCCAGUGUAGAGGUGAAAUUCGUAGAUAUUGGGAAGAACACCAGUGGCGAAGGCGGCUAACUGGUCCGAUACUGACGCUGAGGUGCGAAAGCGUGGGGAGCAAACAGGAUUAGAAACCCUGUAGU
rnacentral:rRNA from 1 species